rnacentral:rRNA from 1 species
NNNCUUCAGCAANGGAUCUCUUGGCUCUCGCAUCGAUGAAGAACGCAGCGAAUCGCGAUAAGUAAUGUGAAUUGCAGAUUUUCCGUGAAUCAUCGAAUCUUUGAACGCACCUUGCGCUCCUUGGUAUUCCGAGGAGCAUGCCUGUUUGA